AACGUGACGUUGCGUGGCAAGCUAAGGUGCGAUGCUCCAGCCGCCAUGUGCCAAAAUGCAACACUGAUGAAAAGGGAGCUGUACGUUGCUCUAUGGUGGCUUGGCAGCAGAAAAUUUCAGGAUACUUGCUCCUUCAGGCCAGUCUUCUAUCAAUGGAUGCUGCCUUGUUGGCUGAAGCUUGUGCCGCCACGCCAAGACCAGCCUUACUUGAUGCGAGGCUGAUCCCUUCCAUCUUCGGCGCCAGGAAUGCUCUCAU
rnacentral:lncRNA from 1 species